rnacentral:rRNA from 1 species
AACGCGAAGAACCUUACCUGGGCUCGAACGGCUUCGGACCAUCCUUGGAAACAGGGACUUCCCGCAAGGGACUGGAGUCGAGGUGCUGCAUGGCUGUCGUCAGCUCGUGUCGUGAGAUGUUGGGUUAAGUCCCGCAACGAGCGCAACCCUUGUCCUGUGUUGGCAUGCCGUAAGGCGCAACUCUCAGGAGACCGCCAGCGAUAAGUUGGAGGAAGGUGGGGAUGACGUCAAGUCAUCAUGGCCUUUAUGUCCAGGGCCACACACGUGCUACAAUGGGCGGUACAAAGCGCUGCCAACCCGCGAGGGGGAGCUAAUCGCCAAAAACCGUCCUCAGUUCGGAUUGCAGGCUGAAACUCGCCUGCUUGAAGUCGGAAUCGCUAGUAACGGUGAGUCAGCACAUCACCGUGAACUACGUUCCCGGGCCUUGUACACACCGCUAGUC